GACGAACGCUGGCGGCGUGCCUAAUACAUGCAAGUCGAACGCAGUGGGGACGGGUGCGUAACACGUGGGUAACCUCCCAUCAGAGGGGAUAACACUUGGUAACAGGUGCUAAACCGACACUGCUGGCUGGACCCGCGGUGCAUUAGCUAGUUGGUGAGGUAACGGCUCACCAAGGCCACGAUGCAUAGCCGACUUGAGAGGAUGAUGGGCCGCACUGUGACUGAGACACGGCCCAGGCUCCAACGAGAGGCAGCAGUAGGUAAUCUUCGGCAAUGGACGAAAGUCUGACCGAGCAACGCCGCGUGAGUGAAGAAGGUUUGCGGAUCGUAAAACUCUGUUGUUAGAGAAGCGGUAUCUAACCAGAAAGCCACGGCUAACUACGUGCCAGCAGCCGCGGUAAUAC
rnacentral:rRNA from 1 species